rnacentral:rRNA from 1 species
AUUGAACGCUGGCGGCAGGCCUAACACAUGCAAGUCGAACGAGUGGCGGAAGGGUGAGUAAUGUCUGGGAAACUGCCCGAUGGAGGGGGAUAACUACUGGAACCGGUAGCUAAUACAGCAUACGAUGGGAUGUGUCCAUAUGGGAUUAGCUAGUAGGUGGGGUAACGGCUCACCUCGGCGACGAUCCCUAGCUGGUCUGAGAGGAUGACCAGCCACACUGGAACUGAGACACGGUCCAGACUCCUACGGGAGGCAGCAGUGGGGAAUAUUGCACAAUGGGCGCAAGCCUGAUACAGCCAUGCCGCGUGUAUGAAGAAGGCCUUCGGGUUGUAAAGUACUUUCAGCGAGGAGGCGUUACUCGCAGAAGAAGCACCGGCUAACUCCGUGCCAGCAGCCGCGGUAAUUC